AACGUAGGAGGCAAGCGUUAUCCGGAUUUACUGGGCGUAAAGCGUGCGCAGGCGGUUUGCUAAGACAGGUGUGAAAUCCCCGGGCUUAACCUGGGAACUGCGCUUGUUACUGGCAAGCUUGAGUGUGGCAGAGGGGGGUGGAAUUCCACGUGUAGCAGUGAAAUGCGUAGAGAUGUGGAGGAACACCGAUGGCGAAGGCAGCCCCCUGGGCUAACACUGACACUCAUGCACGAAAGCGUGGGGAGCAAACAGG
rnacentral:rRNA from 1 species